GACGAACGCUGGCGGCGUGCCUAAUACAUGCAAGUCGAACGCAGUGGGGACGGGUGAGUAACACGUGGGUAACCUCCCAUCAGAGGGGAUAACACUUGGAAACAGGUGCUAAACCGAUACUGAUGGAUGGACCCGCGGUGCAUUAGCUAGUUGGUGAGGUAACGGCUCACCAAGGCCACGAUGCAUAGCCGGCCUGAGAGGGUGAGCGGCCACACUGGAACUGAGACACGGCCCAGACUCCUACGGGAGGCAGCAGUAGGGAAUCUUGAGCAAUGGGCGAAAGUCUGACCGAGCAACGCCGCGUGAGUGAAGAAGGUUUUCGGAUCGUAAAACACUGUUGUUAGAGAAGCGGUAUCUAAACAGAAAGCAACGGCUAACUACGUGCCAGCCGCCGCGGUAAUAC
rnacentral:rRNA from 1 species